UAAGCUGAAGAUAUAUACUGUAUAAAGUGCUUCAUCUACCUAAUUCUCUGAAGUCUUUUUUUUUUCUGUGUUUUUAAGACUUUAUCAUUAAAAAAAGAAGAAAUUAGAGAAGGGAGGUGGGGGGGACAGGAGGGUGAAGGAAUCUCUCCAAAAUGUCGGAUCCGGGAGACCCUCCUUCCCUGACUGCCCAGCCACCCUGUCCCUUCUCUGUCCUGGCAGCAAGGCCCUAGCUGCCGUCUUCUGGGGACCAAGGCCCAGGAGCCCAGCUCGGGUCCCAGGCAGAGGUGAAGGCAGAAGCGGGGCUCAGGGCCUGGAGGCCUUGCUGGUGUCCUUGAGAGCCCCUUGGGUGGGCACUAAGGCCCCCAUGUCCCAGCAGGGCCCCAGGGAGGUAGGCGUUGAGCGGAGGGGCCUUUGGAGGUG
rnacentral:lncRNA from 1 species